AGCAGUUGACGGGAAUGCAUUAAUAAUCAUAAAGUAUUAUAAUGUGUAACUGAUAAAAGAAUUUUAAAAUGGUAACAUCAUAUUGAAAUUGAUAUUGUAACUUGCCUUCACCGGUACAUAUACAUACAUACGUAUAUGCGUACAUAUACAUACAUGUGUGUAUUUGAAGGGUGAAGAAAAAGGUUUCAGGCUGCCUUCAAUAAUUGUUUGGUUAACUCCUGGCAUUUGAUUUAUGACUGUAAACCU
rnacentral:lncRNA from 1 species